UACGUAGGGGGCAAGCGUUGUCCGGAAUUAUUGGGCGUAAAGCGCGCGCAGGCGGUUCCUUAAGUCUGAUGUGAAAUCUCGGGGCUCAACCCCGAGCUGUCAUUGGAAACUGGGGAACUUGAGUACAGAAGAGGAGAGUGGAAUUCCACGUGUAGCGGUGAAAUGCGUAGAUAUGAGGAGGAACACCAGUGGCGAAGGCGACUCGCUGGUCUGGAACUGACGCUGAGGCGCGAAAGCGUGGGGAGCAAACAGG
rnacentral:misc_RNA from 1 species